rnacentral:tRNA from 1 species
GCCGGGGUGGCUGAGCGGUUAAAUAAAUUUAAAAAUGUUGAUCAGAGCGCUGGCCUUGAGAGCCAGUGGCCCAUGCGGGCCGCAGGGGUUCGAAUCCCUUCCCCGGCG